UACAGAGGUCUCAAGCGUUGUUCGGAUUCAUUGGGCGUAAAGGGUGCGUAGGCGGCGCGGUAAGUCGGGUGUGAAAUCUCGGAGCUUAACUCCGAAACUGCAUUCGAUACUGCCGUGCUUGAGGACUGGAGAGGAGACUGGAAUUUACGGUGUAGCGGUGAAAUGCGUAGAUAUCGUAAGGAAGACCAGUGGCGAAGGCGGGUCGUCUGGGCCGAUACUGACGCUGAGGUGCGAAAGCGUGGGGAGCAAACAGG
rnacentral:rRNA from 1 species